rnacentral:rRNA from 1 species
CCUGACUGCUAUCGGAUUGAUACUAAGCCAUGCGAGUCAUUGUAGCAAUACAAGGCAUACGGCUCAGUAACGCGUAGUCAACCUGCCCUAUGGACGGGAAUAACCUCGGGAAACUGAGAAUAAUGCCCGAUAGAACAUUAUAUCUGGAAUGGUUUAUGUUCCAAAUGAUUUAUCGCCGUAGGAUGGGACUGCGGCCUAUCAGUUUGUUGGUGAGGUAAUGGCCCACCAAGACUAUUACAGGUACGGGCUCUGAGAGGAGUAGCCCGGAGAUGGGUACUGAGACACGGACCCAGGCCCUAUGGGGCGCAGCAGGCGAGAAAACUUUGCAAUGUGCGAAAGCACGACAAGGUUAAUCCGAGUGGUUUGUGCUAAACGAACCUUUUGUCAGUCCUAGAAACACUAACGAAUAAGGGGUGGGCAAGUUCUGGUGUCAGCCGCCGCGGUAAAACCAGCACCUCAAGUGGUCAGGAUGAUUAUUGGGCCUAAAGCAUCCGUAGCCGGCUCUGUAAGUUCUCGGUUAAAUCCGUACGCUCAACGUACAGGCUGCCGGGAAUACUGCAGAGCUAGGGAGUGGGAGAGGUAGACGGUACUCGAUAGGAAGGGGUAAAAUCCUUUGAUCUAUUGGUGACCACCUGUGGCGAAGGCGGUCUACCAGAACACGUCCGACGGUGAGGGAUGAAAGCUGGGGGAGCAAACCGGAUUAGAUACCCGGGUAGUCCCAGCUGUAAACUAUGCAAACUCAGUGAUGCAUUGGCUUGUGGCCAACGCAGUGCUGCAGGGAAGCCGUUAAGUUUGCCGCCUGGGAAGUACGUACGCAAGUAUGAAACUUAAAGGAAUUGGCGGGGAGCACCCACAGGGGUGAAGCCUGCGGUUUCAUUG